rfam:Homo sapiens chromosome 22, GRCh38 reference primary assembly.
GCUGGGCGUGGUGGCGCAUGCCUGUAAUCCCAGCUACUUGGGAGGCUGAGGCAGGAGAAUCGUUUGAACCUGGGAGGCGGAGGUUGCAGUGAGCUGAGACUGUGCCACUGCACUCCAGCCUGGAUUGCGCCAUUGUACUCCAGCCUGGGUGACAGAGCGAGACUCUGUCUCAA